rnacentral:rRNA from 1 species
CCUACGGGAGGCUGCAGUAGGGAAUCUUCGGCAAUGGGGGGAACCCUGACCGAGCAACGCCGCGUGAGUGAAGAAGGUUUUCGGAUCGUAAAGCUCUGUUGUACGAGAAUAACGGGUGUGAGAGGGGAAAGUUCACACUGUGACGGUAUCUUACCAGAAAGGGACGGCUAACUACGUGCCAGCAGCCGCGGUAAUACGUAGGUCCCGAGCGUUGUCCGGAUUUAUUGGGCGUAAAGCGAGCGCAGGCGGGUUGAUAAGUCUGAAGUUAAAGGCUGUGGCUCAACCAUAGUUCGCUUUGGAAACUGUCAAACUUGAGUGCAGAAGGGGAGAGUGGAAUUCCAUGUGUAGCGGUGAAAUGCGUAGAUAUAUGGAGGAACACCGGUGGCGAAAGCGGCUCUCUGGUCUGUAACUGACGCUGAGGCUCGAAAGCGUGGGGAGCGAACAGGAUUAGAUACCCCAGUAGUC